UACAGAGGGACCGAGCGUUGUCCGGAAUCAUUGGGCGUAAAGAGCGUGUAGGCGGCCAACUAAGUCCUGCGUGAAAUCUCGGGGCUCAACCCCGAGCGGUCGUGGGAAACUGGUUGGCUAGAGUUCGGUAGGGGAGACUGGAAUUCCUGGUGUAGCGGUGAAAUGCGCAGAUAUCAGGAGGAACACCGGUGGCGAAGGCGGGUCUCUGGGCCGAUACUGACGCUGAGGAGCGAAAGCGUGGGGAGCGAACAGG
rnacentral:rRNA from 1 species